UACAGAGGUCUCAAGCGUUUGUUCGGAUUCAUUGGGCGUAAAGGGUGCGUAGGUGGCGCCGUAAGUCAGGUGUGAAAUUUCGGAGCUUAACUCCGAAACUGCAUUUGAUACUGCGGUGCUUGAGGACUGGAGAGGAGACUGGAAUUUACGGUGUAGCAGUGAAAUGCGUAGAGAUCGUAAGGAAGACCAGGUGGCGAAGGCGGGUCUCUGGACAGUUCCUGACAGCUGAGGCACGAAGGCCAGGGGAGCAAACGGG
rnacentral:rRNA from 1 species